UCCGUAGGUGAACCUGCGGAAGGAUCAUUCGCACAUUCUACAAUAAUAUUCUUGUGAAUUCUUUUGUGAAGUCUGUGUGAGGAUGUACAUUCGGGAUCUUCGUGCAGGUGUUCGCGGGUGGUGUGUCGGACGGGAUGAAUUGCAUACCUGUUCUUCUCCACUGCCACUGCAUACCGCAAAUCAGAUUGAUGCAGCCUACCGUCAAUGGUAAUUGUCAUGUGCAGCUCACAACUUUCAGCGAUGGAUGUCUCGGUUCGAACAACGAUGAAGGGCGCAGCGAAGUGCGAUAAGCAUUGUGAAUUGCAGAAUUCCGUGAACCGACAGGGACUUGAACGCAUAUUGUGCUUUUGGGAUAUCCCUAAAAGCAUGCCUGCUUCAGUGUCUAUUCUCUGUUGCUUCAGUGGCUGUCGCUUUCAAGCAUGCUGCUGAGAGAGUUUGUGCCUCAAGAUGUGCUUUUUAUUUGUAUUAGUGCUUCUGAGGCAUGCGAUUGACAAGGCUCUAUUGUGACGGUCAGAUUACUAAGGCAUCAGUUGUGUGCAGAUAUUCAUGCUCGUCGCAAUGUGGGACUUUUAUUCGCGAUCUGGCUAUGCCAGAUGUUAAGACAUGAAGUUAGGUUGGCAAACCCGCUGAAUUUAAGCAUAUCAAU
rnacentral:rRNA from 1 species